AGAAUAUGUGUGCGAGUCAAUGGGUGAAUAAAUCCACACGGGAUUCCUUCGUGGGUUGCACCGCCGACCGACCUUGAUCUUCUGAGAAGAGUUCGAGUGAGAGCAUGCCUGUCGGGACCUAAAAGAUGGUGAACUAUGCCUGAGCGGGGCGAAGCCAGAGGAAACUCUGGUAGAGGCCCGCAGCGAUACCGAUAUGCAAUCAUUCGCUAACUUGGGAAUAGGGGCGAAAGACUAAUCGAACUGUAUAGUUACUGG
rnacentral:ncRNA from 1 species